UAAGCGGAGGAAAAGAAACUAACAAGGAUUCCCNUAGUAACUGCGAGUGAAGCGGGAAAAGCUCAAAUUUAAAAUCUGGCGGUCUUUGGCCGUCCGAGUUGUAAUUUAGAGAAGCGUCUUCCGCGCUGGACCGUGCACAAGUCUCCUGGAAUGGAGCGUCAUAGAGGGUGAGAAUCCCGUCUUUGGCACGGAUGCCCGGUGCUUCUGUGAUGCGCUCUCGAAGAGUCGAGUUGUUUGGGAAUGCAGCUCAAAAUGGGUGGUGAACUCCAUCUAAAGCUAAAUAUUGGCGAGAGACCGAUAGCGAACAAGUACCGUGAGGGAAAGAUGAAAAGCACUUUGGAAAGAGAGUGAAACAGUACGUGAAAUUGUUGAAAGGGAAACGCUUGAAGUCAGUCGCGUCGACCGAGACUCAGCCUUGCCUCGGCUUGGUGUACUUCUCGGCCCGACGGGUCAGCGUCAAUUUUGCCCCUCGGAUAAUGGCAAGGGAAAGGUGGCACCUUUACGGGUGUGUUAUAGUCUCCUGUCGCAUGCGAGGGGUGGGAUUGAGGAACUCAGCGCGCACCUUGGUGUCGGGGCUUCGGCCCACGUCACGCGCUUAGGAUGCUGGCGUAAUGGCUUUAAACGACC
rnacentral:rRNA from 1 species